CUUAUAAAGUUUCUAGUCGAAAUCCGAUUUCAAAUCAUAAUCCAUUCAAAAUUCGAAUUUCGAAUUUUGAAUUCCCAAAAUACCAUCUAAUAAUCCAUUCAAAAUUCGAAUUUUGAAUUUUGAACCCCCAACAAAUUAUCAAAAUAUCCUCCAAUAAUCCAUUCAAAAUUCGAAUUUCGAAUUUUGAAUUCCCAAAAUAUCAUCCAACAACACAUUCGAAAUUCGAUUCGAAUUUCGAAUUCCUAACCAAUUUCCAAAACAUCCUCCAACAACCCAUUCGAAAUUCGAUUUCGAAUUUCGAAUUCCCAACCAUUUCCCAAAAUAUCAUCAAACAACCCAUUCGAAAUUCGAUUUCGAAUUUCGAAUUCCCCAACCAAUUUCCCAAAAUAUCAUCCAACAACCCAUCCGAAAUUUGAUUUCGAAUUUCGAAUUCUCAACCAAUUCUCAAAACAUCAUCCAACAACCCAUUCGAAAUUCGAUUUCGAAUUUCGAAUUCUCAACCAAUUCCCAAAACAUCAUCCAACAACCCAUUCAAAAUUCGAUUUCGAAUUUCGAAUUCCCUAACCAAUUCCCAAAAUAUCAUCUAACAACCCAUUCGAAAUUCGAUUUCGAAUUUCGAAUUCUCAACCAAUUCCCAAAAUAUCAUCCAACAACCCAUUCAAAAUUCGAUUUCGAAUUUCGAAUUCUCAACCAUUUCCCAAAACAUCAUCCAACAACCUAUUCGAAAUUCGAUUUCGAAUUUCGAAUUCCCAACCAAAUUUCCAAAAUAUCAUUCAACAACUCAUUCAAAAUUCGAUUUCGAAUUUUGAAUUCCCUAACCAACUCCCAAAAUAUCUUCCAACUAUCCAACAACUCAUUCGAUUUCGAAUUCGAAUUUUGAAUUCCCAACCACUCCCCAAAUAUCCUCCAACCAUCCAACAAAUAAUUCAAAAUUUGAAUUUCGAAUUUUGAAUUCUUAACUAACUCCUCCCCUCCCAUUAUAAAUACGGGAACCGAAAUCAAAUUCAG
rnacentral:lncRNA from 1 species